UUUCUCCUUAUCAUAUCUUUUAAAAUAGAAAAAUUUUUAGUAAUAAUGAUUCACAUUUGACAAGCUAUUUUUGAUAUUUUUUUUGGAAUUUUUUUAGGCUUAUCUGGAUGCCAAAUGGAUGCCAUAAUUUCCUUCUCAUGUCUGCAUGUGUGGUGAUCAGACUUCGCAUGAAAGGAUAUGAGAACACAUCUAUUUGUGAGAAUUUUUAUCCAUUCAUUAUUUUUUUUGGAAUCAAGAUUGAAUAUUCUAUUGACAUAUAUUUUUAAGGAUUUUUUUGAUUUGAGAAGGGAUGCAAAAAUAUCCCUUCUCUGGUUGCACGCACAGAGCAGGGUGC
rnacentral:lncRNA from 1 species